AUUGAACGCUGGCGGCAGGCCUAACACAUGCAAGUCGAACGGGUGGCGGACUGGUGAGUAAUUGUUUGGAAUCUGGCUUAUGUAGGGGUCUAACUACGGUAAACUGUAGCUAAUACCGCGUACGAUAGGCUGUGCCCAGGUGGGAUUAGCUAGUAGGUGGGGUAACGGCUCACCUAGACGACGAUCCCUAGCUGGUCUGAGAGGAUGACCAGCCACACUGGAACUGAGACACGGUCCAGACUCCUACGGGAGGCAGCAGUGGGGAAUAUUGCACAAUGGGCGAAAGCCUGAUGCAGCCAUGCCGCGUGUAUGAAGAAGGCCUUCGGGUUGUAAAGUACUGUCAGCGAGGAGGCGUUACUCGAAGAAGAAGCAACGGCUAACUCCGUGCCAGCAGCCGCGGUAAUUC
rnacentral:rRNA from 1 species